rnacentral:rRNA from 1 species
UGGGGAAUUUUGGACAAUGGGGGAAACCCUGAUCCAGCCAUCCCGCGUGUGCGAUGAAGGCCUUCGGGUUGUAAAGCACUUUUGGCAGGAAAGAAACGUCAUGGGUUAAUACCCCGUGAAACUGACGGUACCUGCAGAAUAAGCACCGGCUAACUACGUGCCAGCAGCCGCGGUAAUACGUAGGGUGCAAGCGUUAAUCGGAAUUACUGGGCGUAAAGCGUGCGCAGGCGGUUCGGAAAGAAAGAUGUGAAAUCCCAGAGCUCAACUUUGGAACUGCAUUUUUAACUACAGGGCUAGAGUGAGUCAGAGGGAGGUGGAAUUCCGCGUGUAGCAGUGAAAUGCGUAGGUAUGCGGAGGAACACCGAUGGCGAAGGCAGCCUCCUGGGAUAACACUGACGCUCAUGCACGAAAGCGUGGGGAGCAAAGAGG